GUCAUAACGACAGUCAACAGGCGCAAGCGCAGCUUGUAACAAAUAUCCUGUUUCGUGAUCGUUUGUUACGUUUUCUCUCAAAAUAUAAUCAUAUAAUGUGAUGAUAUGUGGUUCGGUCGCGUUGAGCAAAUGAAUAAUGCUCCCGUCAUGCGGAACCAUCGCUCGAAAAGAGGAGAAAGUCUCGUGUGAAAUCGGAGAGUUGCCUUCAAUGAUGUGGAAGAGGUCGAUUGUGCAAGCGGCGGGUGGCGCGCGGGCUGCGGCCCUCGCGUUGGUGCUGACACUCGCCGCCUGCAUGUGGAAACCAUGUGAUUGCGCGGAUCUGGUGAUUGAGAUCCCGUCCGCGGGUCCAGGCGCGGCGGCCGACCCCGGCGCGCACUACCGGCUGGACUACUACCCUCCGCACGGCAAGCCUGCUCCAAACCACACCGUGCAAGCCCGAGCAUCCACCAUUAACUUUCAGGGGCUCCCAGGCACCAAAUACCACUUCAUGCUCUAUUACUCCAACGACACGUUCGCCGAUCUGCUGACUUGGAACCAAACUAUUAUUACGGCGCCGGAGCCACCGACGAAUCUGACGGUGACGCUGGGGAGAAACAAGCAGGCGACGAUCGCUUGGUCACCGCCGGCGCACGGCGACUACACCGGCUUCCGGUUUAAGGUGAUACCUUUAACGGAGCGCGCAGACGGUGCCCGUAACAUCACUGUGGAAGGCGCAGGCAACUGGACGUACACUCUGAGGGAGCUCUCUCCGGGCGCCACUUACCAGCUCCAUGCGUUCACGCUACUGCACGACAAGGAAAGCGCUGCGUACGCUUCCAGGAAUUUCACUACCAAGCCGAAUACUCCUGGUAAAUUCAUCGUGUGGUUCCGUAAUGAGACAACGUUGUUGGUGUUAUGGCAGCCGCCGUAUCCACCCGGAGCAUACACACACUACAAGGUGUCUAUCGUGCCUCCGGAUGCGCGAGACUCGGAGCUCUACGUCGAGAAGGAAGGGGAGCCUCCGGGGCCUGCGCAGGCCGCCUUCAAAGGCUUGGUUCCCGGCCGAGCAUACAACAUCUCCGUACAAACAGUGUCGGAGCCAGAAAUCUCGGCCCCUACUACGGCUCAGUAUAGAACUGUGCCCCUGAGGCCCCGAAAUGUCACCGUGGACAUUUCUACCCUUACGGAAACAUCGUUUCGGGUCACCUGGCUACCUCCUCUGGAAGAAAGUGAGUUCGAGAAAUACCAAGUAUCGGUAAGCGGCGCAGCGGGCGGCGCAGGCGGCGCUAACAGCGCAGGCGCAAGGAGACUGACCCCGGUGCUGCGCGCUCGGAAUGAAACUCCUGCGUGUUCCUUCGACGGCCUGGAGCCCGGGGGGCAUUACACCGUUACUGUCAAGACCAUGUCUGGCAAGGUCACCUCUUGGCCCGCUCAUGCUGAUCUUACGCUGAAGCCAUUACCGGUACGCGGGUUGAAUCGCAGCUACGUGCGCGGCGGCGCGGGCGAGGGAGAUGGCGCGGCCGGUGGCGUCGUGUUCGUGUUCUGGAUGCCCGCUGACGGCAGCACGCAGGACGAGUACAAAGUAUCGUACCACGAAGCGGGUCCGUCGCGAGAUGACAGCAACACCUUGACAAUUGCUGCCACAAAUGUGACUUUAGAAUCGCUGCUCCCAGGCCGCAACUACACAGUAACUGUAGCCUCUGUGUCCAGGGGAGUAGAGUCUAAUGAGAGUUCUAUAUGGGUGGCUACACAACCUCUGGCCCCCGUGUUGCAUUCAGCAAUAGCGACGCAAAAAAGUCUACGAUUAGCUUGGAGCUCCGAUGUGAACUCUCGACAGGACCACUACAAGUUGAGAUACAGACGCGCAAGAAUUGAUAAACCUGAUGAGCCAUGGCGUGAACUGGUAACUCGUUACACAAACACCACUUUAGAUGGUUUGUUCCCGGGAGCAGUGUACGAAAUUCAGUUGUGUGCAGUCAGUCAUGGGUUGAGCAGUGAAUGGCACACGGUCAAAAAACCAGUCCGUCCCCUGCCAGCGACAUGGCUAAACGUGGAGCGCGCAACAUCAAACUCGGUGACAGUGAGUUGGCGUGGCCCGGACGAGCCGGCAGCCAUCGGCGAAUUCCUGCUGAGAUACCGCACCAUGGGCUCUGCUCCAUCAGCGUGGCAACGAGCUGACCCGCUGUCGCCCACUGCUAAUAAAACUGAGAUCGUGAACAUGACACAUGGCGAGCAUUACAUCAUCCAACUGGACACUGUGAGCGAGGCCGCGGCCGGGGAGAGUGUCGACAGCGGGUUGCCACUGCAAGCUGAUCACACCGUUCGACCGAACCCAGUUUCGAACGUAGCCCAGCUAGUAGACACCCGCAACAUGACAUUGGAGUGGCCCCGGCCAGCGGGCCGCGUGGAGUGGUACGCGCUGCGCUGGUGGCCGCGCCCCGGCGAGCUGGACCCUACUGACACUGAGGUAGUAGAACGCAAUCUAACAGCGCCAUCUGGCGGGCGCACUGUGCGAGCGUUAUUAGAAAACCUCCAGCCUGGCGUGGGCUACACCGUGUCCAUUGCCGCCGUCUCCUACAACCUCACGUCUGACGUCUUCACUAUGGACACUCGUACACGUCCAAUGAUCACAUCGGAAAUGAAUAUAGUAAACGAAUCUGGUGACUAUGAGAACGACACACAACCAUUUAUCAAGGUGCUAUAUACCCGAACACCAAGCGCAGCGUCACGCUUCGACUCGUACCGGUUCCAACUGGAGGGUGAAGGCGAGAAGCCUCGCAAGCUGAUCCGGCCGGCCAACGCCACGGAACAGCGCGUUGAGUUCCGUGACCUGGUGCCCGGCCGCCUCUACAACGUCACCAUGUGGACGCUCUCCAGGAACGUCAGCUCGCACCCAGUUCAGCGACAGGCUCGCCUCUUCCCGCGCCCAAUCACACAGCUGAACGCUACGGAAAUCGGCGCCCGUGAGAUCUCGCUCGCCUGGGACAAGCCUGUGGGCGACUACACAGACUUUGAGAUCCAGUACCUGACGUCAGCAGACAGACUAGCCAAUCGCUCCACUAAAGCCACGCAUGUCACCAUCACUGGACUGCGGCCGCAUACGCUGUAUACAUUUACCGUUGUGGCACGUUCAGGUACACCAGCAUCCAUCCUCACCCAUUCAUCGGCGCACUCCGCGGCAUUCUACACCCGAGAGGCGCCACCAGCCGCGCCUACUAAGUUCCAACCUUCUGAUGCUAAGCCCAAUGAACUCACAUUCGAUUGGGAACUACCUCCAUCGGAACGCAACGGGGUGCUAAGACGGUAUAUCAUUGAGUACGCACCUCAAGGCGAUCCGAAGAAUGUGAAGACUCAAGAGUUUUCGGCUGAUGCGACGUCUGGCACAGUGUCGGGGCUGACGCCGGGCGGCACGUACGAGUUCCGCCUGCGCGGCGAGACGCGCCCGCCGCCCUCCGCGCUGCCCACGCCGGUCCGUCGCACGGCAAGCACGAUAGCCGUUACAUUCCGCGGCGAUUACUUCUCGUUCGCGAACGGCAAUGUGACGGCAUACACAUUGGUGCUAGGGGAGGAGCCACGUAACGAUACCCCGGCCCGUUUGCCGUCCUGGCGUGAUGUGCGGAGGUUGCCGGUCUGGCCGCCUUAUCAGGUGACAGAACCAUACUACCCGUUCCACGCGUCGGCCGUUGAAGAGUUUACUAUCGGGUCGGAGCGUUGCGAAGACAACGGUCGGACUUACUGCAACGGACCUCUCAAGCCCGGCGCUAAGUAUUACGUCAAACUACGCGCUUUCACCGCCCCUGACAAGUUUACUGAUACUGCGUAUACUGUCGUUUAUACCGAGGUGGACAACACGGCGUGGAUCAUCGGCGGGUGCGCGGUGGCGGCGGCGCUGGCGGCGGGCGCGGGCGCGGCGCUGCUGCUGCGGCGGCGCGGGGGGCGCGCGCGCGCGCAGCCGCCGCCGCCGCAGCCGCGCGCGCAGCGGCCCGUGCGCGUCGCCGACUUCGUCGACCACUACCGCCUCAUGUCCGCGGACUCCGACUUCAGGUUCAGCGAAGAAUUUGAAGAACUAAAACACGUGGGUCGGGAUCAGCCGUGCAGCGCGGCUGAUCUGCCCUGCAACCGUCCUAAGAAUCGGUUUACCAACAUCCUGCCAUAUGACCACUCCCGGUAUAAGCUACAACCUGUGGAUGAUGAGGAAGGAUCGGACUAUAUCAACGCCAACUAUGUACCUGGACACAACUCGCCUAGAGAGUUUAUUGUUACUCAGGGUCCCCUCCACUGCACUCGCGACGACUUCUGGCGUAUGUGCUGGGAGUCAGGGUCGCGCGCGAUAGUCAUGUUGACGCGCUGUGUGGAGAAGGGCAGGGAGAAGUGUGACCGCUACUGGCCGUACGACACCCGGCCCGUAUACUACGGUGAUAUUGCUGUCACUGCGCUUAAUGAGUCCAGGUACCCUGACUGGACGGUGACGGAGCUGAUGGUGUGCCGCGGCGCGGAGCAGCGCGUGGUCAAGCACUUCCACUUCACCACAUGGCCGGACUUCGGCGUGCCCGACCCGCCUACCACGCUCGCUAGAUUCGUGCGUGCAUUCCGCGAGCGUUGCCCGCCGCACGCGGUGGACGCGCGGCCCGUCAUAGUGCACUGCAGCGCCGGCGUGGGCCGCUCGGGAACCUUCAUCACCCUCGACCGCGCGCUGCAGCAGCUAGCAGCCCACGCCGAGUACAUCGACAUAUUCGGCAUGGUCUACGCCAUGCGCCGCGAGCGAGUCUGGAUGGUGCAAACCGAGCAACAGUACAUAUGCAUACACCAAUGCGUCGUCGCCGUGCUCGAAGGACAGGACCUCGCGCCCCCGCACCCCGCGCCCAACCACAACCAACACCACCACAACAACCACCUCAACCCCGCCUUCGAAGGCGGCGGCUAGCAGCGGCGUCGGCGCGGACCUCGGCUCCACAUGGUCACACCCAUAGGUGGCCGAGUUCACUCCUAACAGAACCGCAUUACGACGAAGGCAUCGCGGAGUCGGGUAUGUGAGCGCUCAGACGCGGCUCACGGCCCCCUUGUAUCCACCUGCUUCGACUCGUUGCAUUCCCUGCGACUUAACUCUCCUGCAUUUUAUAAUACGACACUAAGCGUUCACCUUAAUCCAUUUAGAAUUCUUUUAGCUUUAGCUCCCUAUUGUACAAUACGGUAAGUAUUUUAACAUGAAAUUAUUAUCUAUUUAUUUAGAAAAAUAUUUUUGUAUAAAUGUAUAUUACUCGUAAGCAAGAUGGACCAAUCACACGAUAGUUAUUUACGUUGUACAUAGGUUAACGCAGUUGUGAAGCUGCGACAUAUUUUUUAUAAUAAUUGUAUUUUGAUAUUAAUGUUGCAUAUUUGAUAAUUAUUGAAUAUUAAAUAUU